GAUCAUUAACGAGUAAAGUCCUUUGGGACUUUCUUAUCCAAAACACCUGUGAAAAUUAAUUUUUUGCUUUGGGAAUUUAAUUAUUCCCAACAAUCAAAACCACUAAGUUGUCUUUUGUCUGAAUGAUUAUUUAAAAAAUCAAAACUUUCAACAACGGAUCUCUUGGUUCUCGCAUCGAUGAAGAACGCAGCGAAACGCGAUAUGUAAUGUGAAUUGCAGACUUUGUGAAUCAUCGAAUCUUUGAACGCACAUUGCGCCCUCUGGUAUUCCGGAGGGCAUACCUGUUUGAGCGUCAGUUCUCUCUCAAAAAAGAUUUUUUUUUUUUUUUUGGUAUUGCUCGUACUUGUUUUAAAGUUGAGUGAAAUGAAUUGGCAAGGCAGUUUUCUAGCUAUCAACGUAUUAGGUUUUACCAUUUCGUUGGAAGAGCAAAAAGACAAGCCGGGCGAUAUAACUGGGUUACCCAAAAUAUU
rnacentral:misc_RNA from 1 species